GCAGUUUGAUCUCAGACUGCUGUGCUAGCAAUCAGCGAGACUCCCUGGGCGUAGGACCCUCCGAGCCAGGUGUGGGAAAUAAUCUCCUGGUGCACCGUUUCCUAAGCCCGUCGGAAAAGCGCAGUAUUUGGGUGGGAGUGGCCCGAUUUUCCAGGUGCCCUCCUUUCCUUGACCAGGAAAGGGAACUCCCUGACCCCUUACGCUUCCCAAGUGAGGCAAUGCCUCGCCCUGCUUCGGCUGGCGCACGGUGCCCUGCACCCACUGUCUGGCACUCCCUAGUGAGAUGAACCCGGUACCUCAGAUGGAAAUGCAGAAAUCACCCAUCUUCUGCGUGGCUCAUGCUGGGAGCUGUAGACCAGAGCUGUUCCUAUUCAGCCAUCUUGGCUCCCGGAUCCAGUUUAACUUUUGCAGAGAGACAAGAUCUCUCUCCAUUGCCAACACUGGUCUCAAACUCCUGGCCUCAAGCAAUCAUCCAACCUCAGCCUUCUGAGUACCGGGAUUACAAGUGCGAGCCACUGUGCCCAGCUCCUGUUUCUACUUUCUUAAGUGAACCUGAGGAAUACCACAAAUGUGAGCAUGGCUGGAUCUUUUGAAUUAAAAUCCACACUGGGAAAGAAAUAGACCUUGAACAUCUUGCCAAAGAUUCCUCUUAGGACUCUAGAUGCACGGAGAGUGGCCAGAUUAAUACAGACUGGCAAAAGAAGAACUUGGCAAAGUGAUUUGAUCACACACUUCUCACCCUCACAUCUCCUGACAGUUCCCCUAAUCCCUGCCCCACUUCCCCGCCAUGGGCUUCCAUCAGGAAACUCCUUGAUAUCAUCUUCGAAAACUGAGGCAUAGAACAUUUGGGAAUGAAUCUAAGACUACACAUCUAGAAUAGCAGAGUUACAGGAAUGCAGAUGUGAUUCCUAUGGAUGAGGGUAACCUAGAGGCUAGAAGAACAAUAGGACAGAAGAAGCCUGGGUCCCUGAACAACCUUGUGGAGCAUAGACACCUACGUGGCCUGGACUGCCAGCUCACAAUGGGCCUCUCUGUGAGAGAAGGAAACUUCCCUCUUGUUUAAGCAACUGUGCUUUUGAGAAUCUCUUGGUCUAUACCCUAAUGAAUAAGGCCAUCAUAAAUGGAUAUCAAAGUAAGGAAAUUUGUGUAAAUGAUUUAAUAAAACAUUACCUCAGGUAUGAAAUAAUUCUACCUUGUGCCUUGACAACAUCAGGUAUUAUUCAUGCCCUUUUCUCUCCCUGUAAUGUCUCUUAUCCACGGGUAGAAAUUAUAUUUUCCAUCUAAGGUUUGCUCAAAUAUUAUCUACUUAAGUAGCUCUUACCAAUUUUGCCUCUCCUCCUGAGCUGACCCUAUGCCUUCUAUGCUGUUCCAGGUAAUAUUAAUCUCUUCCUUUGUACUUCUUUCACAGAACAUACUUUUUUGUCUAACAUAAUAACUAUAGGCAUAAGUGUAUAGAUUCCACUAGGGGCUUCAGAACAGAAACUAUCAUCUUAUUAAUUUUUUUCUCCCUGAUAUCUAGGGAAAUAUGUUAUAUAUAAUAGGCCCUUAGUAAUCCCAUAAAUGUUUGUGAGAUAUUCACUGACUAUAAGCCAUACUCUGUAUUUAUUUAGCUAAAACAGACGUCUUUCAUAUUUAGUUAGCAGAAAAUGCUCACAUUUACUCCUUUCCUGUUUACCAAAUGAAAGGGUAAUUGUUUUUUCACAGAUUGCACUAGAAAAGUGUCUUCUCUCUCUUUUUCAAAUAGAUUGUCUUUAAAACAUAUGACAGGAAAAGUGACUAUUGUUAGGAUAAGAUAAUUACGAUUGUAACAGCUAGUUUAAAAGAAGUGUCAGUUGCUCCUGUUUUAUUUUUCACAGGAUAGAGCUGCGGCCUGUCUCAGUAUGAUGUUUUCAGGAUCUGGUAUAUAUUUUUAUUUUCCUACAUGAAUCUUUCAUCCUUUUACUGACAUUUAUUCAUUUUAUCUAAUUAUCCUAAAAGGAAAGCUCUGGCCAGGCAAAUUGGUUGUUGUCUGCCUCUGAAGAGACAUUCAUAUCGCGUCGCUUAGCUUUCAAGUUUUGUGAUCAGGAACCCUCAGGCCCAUUUUUAAGGAGGUUUCAGGCUAGCUGAGCUUCACUGUCUCCCAAAAUGUACAAAAUGAGAUUACAUGAGGGACAAGAUCAAUUUACUGGAAGGUACUUAAGCAGUAAAUCUGGAGCUUUUUGUCCAGUCACUAUUGCUUUCAAGCUUUGUAGCAGAAAAUUAAGCCACAAGAGCUUUGACAAAUUAGAUAUUACUACCUCUAAUUGUGUAUGUUUAAGCUUAUCACACUGAAUUGCAGCAUUGUAACUGACUAUUAUGCCAACAAGGCCUUCGUUUAAUCAGCGCAGUGCCAUUUAAUCGCAAUUAAUCACUCAACUAAAAUGUCAUAUUAAGGUCACAGAAACUUGAAGGGCUAAAAGAAAAGAGAACAUUAAAGUCAGCUGAUGGAGGAAAAGAGCAUGGUGUGCCAAGGGAAGUUCUGAGCACUCUUUUUCAUUAGAAGCUGGUAGAACAUUUAAUGAGAAUUCAGUCUUAACUUUCAGCUGAGAUCAGAACAACGUGCC
rnacentral:lncRNA from 1 species